UGAGGAAUAUUGCGCAAUGGGCGAAAGCCUGACGCAGCGACGCCGCGUGGAGGAUGACGGUUUUAGGAUUGUAAACUCCUGUUAAGUGGGAAGAAAGUCCUAUCUCUAAUAUAGAUAGGAUAUGACGGUACCACUAGAGAAAGCACCGGCUAACUUCGUGCCAGCAGCCGCGGUAAUACGAGGGGUGCAAACGUUAUUCGGAUUUAUUGGGUGUAAAGGGUGUGUAGACGGGUUAUUAAGUUCGUUGUUAAAUCUUCCGGCCUAACCGGAAGCUCGCGAUGGAAACUGGUAAUCUUGAGGAUGGAAGAGAGAAGUGGAAUUCUCGGAGUAGCGGUAAAAUGCGUAGAUCUCGAGAGGAACACCGAUGGCGAAGGCAGCUUCUUGGUCCAUUCCUGACGUUAAAACACGAAAGCGUGGGGAGCAAACAGGAUUAGAUACCCUGGUAGUCCACGCCGUAAACGAUGAUCACUAGAUGUUGGCCCUGUUUUGCAGGGUUAGUAUCGAAGCUAACGCGUUAAGUGAUCCACCUGGGAACUACGAUCGCAAGAUUA
rnacentral:rRNA from 1 species